rnacentral:rRNA from 1 species
CAACUCGCCUACACGAAGCUGGAAUCGCUAGUAAUCGCGGAUCAGCACGGCGCGGUGAAUACGUUCCCGGGCCUUGUACACACCGCCCGUCAAGCCAUGGAAGCCGGGAGUGCCUGAAGUGCGUGACCGCAAGGAGCGUCCUAAGGCAAUACCGGUGACUGGGGCUAAGUCGUAACAAGGUAUC